rnacentral:lncRNA from 1 species
UUGUCAAAAAAAGCAGUCAUGGUCAUUGGAGUACCACUGUAAUGUACUAGAUUAUAAUAUAAAAAUUAAGUGUAAAUAAAAAUAGUGUGAGAUACUAUUUUUAUUGGACUUAAGGAAAUAAAAUGUAAGUCUGGAAUGACUUGUACUGAAAUCGGAAUAAAAACAGGAGAUUUAGAAUUUUUUGUGAGAAACGGGACUGGUAUUUUUAGCUGAAAAUGCACAGUGUCAGAAAAUUAUGAAAAUAUGAAAAUAUGUCGGGAUUAUUUUUGUAAGGCUAGAUUUAAAGUUUCAUAUCAUUCUGACACCCGAAAAGUGAAAAAUAAAAUCCGACUGCUAUUUGCUAGAGAUUACAGUUCGGUAGAACUUUCGGUGACCAAAAAUGGUCGAAACUGGAAAGUUAAGAUAUUUUCUUGUUUAUUAAGAGAAACCAAGCCUGACUGUCAAAUUUGAACGAAAACGGACAUUCAGAAGGGCUGGCGAAAAGUAUUUGAUCCUGAGCUGUUAAAAUGCUAGUGUGAAUAGUGUUUUGAGGGUGUCUAUAGAGAUAAUAAUUCUUGGGUUCCCUCCGGAGCCUCCCCGCGUUUGGCGGGGGGCUUCGACGGGACCCCCUCUUUUUUUUUCGGCUUUCUCUCUCCCUCUCUCUCUCUACCCCCCUCCCCGGCUCCCACUCUCUCUCUCUCUCCCCCCUCUCAUNNNNNNNNNNNNNNNNNNNNNNNNNNNNNNNNNNNNNNNNNNNNNNNNNNNNNNNNNNNNNNNNNNNNNNNNNNNNNNNNNNNNNNNNNNNNNNNNNNNNCAUCAGGGUGUGGAAAGUCAACCCAUAUUAGGAGAUAAUGGUUCAAACUUUUUUUUUUUUUCUCUCAGGGACAAUUUUUUGAUCGUUUUUAACCUUGUCUUCAAUUCCAUGCAUGGUAUUUAUCUUCCUAGUUAUUGCAGUUGUUCGGCUGAAUUUACGUGAGCAUUUGUUUUUGGAAGUUGUGUUACUCCUUAGAUCUCUCUACAAUUACUCGGAUUUUAAUUUUAUCUCUUGAAAAUUAGUGUCUACUGUAGCAGUUUAUUUUACGCUAGAAAGUUUGUUGAUGGUGUGAAUUUUCUUUGGCAUCUAUAUGUUUUGGUGGGUAUAAAUUGACCCCUCAACUUCUCUGUGCGUAGAGGGUAGCAAUCAGUAUGCUAGCCUCUGUUGAUCGGGUUAAAUGAGUUUCUGAACUUCCAGUCAACUUCAAUUAGGUCCUUGGACCUUCGGUUCAACAUUGGGAACUCUUUUUGGUGGUCUUGCCUUUAGUUUUGAUUAGAGUGAAUAUUGUUGGCUGCUGGCUGCAGCUGAUGCAUUUGACAUACAUGUGUUUGUUUGGGUGAAAAUGAGGGGGAAGUGGAGAAGGGGGAAGUUGUUUACGCCGUAAACUAUCACUUCCGUUGUUUGUUUUGCCGUAAUUUUAUUACGGCUGAAAGUCGAGUUCACCCUUCCACGGGGCGAAGUCAAUUCCGGUGAAGUGCAAAGAAGCAAAGGAGCUUGUUAAAUUUGGUUAGGUAAGGUGAUCAAAUUUAGUUAGGCAAGUUUUAAUAUAUUUUUUGUCUAAUUUGUAUAUUUAGAAAAUGAUGAAAAAUGAAUUUGUUAAAUGUUAAUAAUUUUUUAACUUUAGAAUUUUAUUUGUUGCAUUAUUAUAAUUUAUAUGCAAACAAAUAAUAUAAUUUUUUUAAAAUUUUAUUUUAUAAUUAUACAUAUAUAUAAUUAUAUUAAUUUUUAUUUAUUAUAAUUUAUUAUUCACUAAGUUACAAAAUAGAUAAUAAUAUCACUUCGGAGGUAAGUAUACCGGUGAUGGAGAGCUACAUUUUUUACUUCCUACCAAACAAAGAACAGAACUGUACUUUCAUAGUUAGAAACAAACAGCGGAAGUGAAUUAAUUUUCGCCUAAACUUCAUUUCAACCCAAAGUCCACUUUCAUCCCAAGUCUCUUACGUUGGAACAAACAUGUCCCGUACAAGGCUGUCACCCUUUACCUAGGGGUGUAUACGAUCGUAUUUUGGCGAAAUCAUAUCCGUAUUUAUAUUUUGCAAAGUUUUCGUUAUCAUAUCUGCUUUAAAUGAAUUCGGAUUUGUAUUCAAGUCUUAUUUGCUUUCACAUAUUAUUCAAAUAAUAUACAAUAAUGUGCAUAUAUAAAUAUAGUGUAGAGCUAAUAUGCUAUCGGAAGUAUAGAGGAUUUGAUGCUUUCGAUUUUUUAACUCUUGGAUCAAGAAUUAUACGGUUUGGAUGAUUUCGGUCCUUUCUAGGGCUGAGUAAUACCUCUGAGGUUGAGUGGUCCCCACAGGAUAAUAGAAUUAAUUCAAAGGUUAUAAAUGAUUAAAUAAAAUGAUAUAAGGGCCAAAAAGUCAGAAACACAAAAUCAUCUAUGCUUUCGAUAGUAUAUGCUUUCGAUAGUAUAGUAGUUCUACUCUAUAAAUAUAAAUAUAAAUUAAGAUUAACGCAAAUAAGAAACGCUAUGCAAUUAAAGAUGGCCAAUUUGCAUAAAAAAUUCACUUAUUUUGGGCUUUUGCAAAACUGGGCCAUAUUUUUCGGUUUUGCAGAUUCGGUCCGUUUUUUCAGCAAACUGACCAAAAUACCAUUAUUAUUUUUUCUCUUUCCUCUUUCUCUCUCCUCUUCGUUUCUCUUUUUUUUUUCUCGCUGAAAAAAGUAACGAAAGCAGAGGCGUAGGCGGAAAUGGUCCGCCUCGCCUCUCACCCUCAUGCUCUCUCGCCCUUGCCCUCGUCCAUGCACCCCCCACCUUCCUCGCCUCCGACCCCGCCAAGGCCGCGUCGCGACUUUUUCUUUUCUGCUUUUUUCUUUUCUUUUCUUUUCCGACUCUUCUUCACCGUCUCCGACGACGACGCCUCUCUCGCCCUUCCCCGCCCUUCUCAUCUCUCCCUCUCGCUCAUUUUCUGCCGCCUCCGACGAUGAUUUAUCUUCGCCGGCGCCGACGUCGACACCGCAGAGGUCACUGCGGCGCUACAGCCUCGGAGCGGGGGGUCCUUAGCGGCGUCAUCACCGGCGCCAUAGCUGUUGGCAGAGAAGGUGACAAAAAAAAAUAUAGACAAAAACAAAAAAGAAACAUAACAGAAAGAAAAUUAUAAGAACCAAGAAGGAUGAAGAUGAAAUUACAUCGUUAACUGCAAAAAAUUAUAGUUGGUACUACGCUAAGAUGUAAACUCGCACGCUUUAAGAUGAAAAAUCUAACACUCUUCUAUGAAAGCGAAAACAUUACAGCUCUUCUGAGGAUAGAAUAUUUGCACCUCUUUCAGAUGUCAAACUUGCAUGCAUUUAAAGAAUGAAAGUUACACUCUUUAAACCAGCAAAUUGCACUAAUUGUCUCUCUUGUCUGGCACCAAUUUUCUCUCUUAUGUAUACUAUUUUUGUAUCUUAAAACUCGCACACACAUCUUACGAAAUAACGCUUAAUACUGUUCCCUUCUUGCCUUGCAUGCCUGCGUUUCUCCCUCUUGUCUGCGGCAUCGGCCAUUUCUCCUUCGUUACACUAUGUUUUUAAUCUGUAAACGGCACCCCUUUUAAACGGAGCAUCACUUUCAGUACCCGCGUUUCUCCCUCUUGUUGCGCUAUUUUUUCUCCUUGCUUGCACCCUAAUUUCUUCCUCCAUCUCUGUGUGCACCUACUUCUGUCUCUCUCGUGCUCAGUAACACAGCAGGGACAACCUAAGUGCCAACAACGGAAGCCCGGAAUAGAAACAGCUUGCAGACAAGAGCUAGCAACAACAAUAAAGUAAUCACAGUUGUCUUCAAAGAGGUGAUUUAAGAUCAAACACAAACGUAAUGGUGGUAACAGCGAAGAGAAUGUACGCAACAAGAGGAGAAAACCAGUGCAACCAAGAGGAGAAACAAGCCUUAAAAUCAUCUCUUCAAAGAGGUGCAGUUUACAGACAUAAAAAACAGUAAUACAGAGGAAAAAAGCUGCGUGCCACACAACAGGAGUAAACAUGGAACAACGAGGAGACACUACGAAUACCUUCUUUAAAGGGGUGCAGUUUUAAGAACUAAAAAACAUACGGUGUAGACAAGAGGGAAGAACAGGUGGGCAACGAAGAGGCAGGAAAACGAGCUCGCAGACUUCGGCUGUGUAAAGACGUGUGCGAAGUCGUUUAGUCUUAAUGGAUACGGGACCAGGUGUUACCAGCUUUGAAAGGUGCAAUAAAACGAGACAAAAAACAGUGUAAAAUCAUGCUCGCCAACCGAAGUGCUAAUUUUUAUUUAAAGAGUGUAAUUUUCAUCUUAAAGCUGCAGUUUACAUCUUAAGUAGUGCAACCUAUGUCCAUAAUAGUGCAACGUUUUUUGAACAGUGCAAUUUCAUCUUCAUCUUUCUUUUUUUAUAAUUUUUUAUCUUUAUUUUUUUUUCUUACUUCUUCUAUAAUUUUUUUGGUCACCCAUCUCUGCCCAUGGCCACAGCGCCGGCGACGACGCCGCUAAGGACCCACGCUCCGAGGCUGCAGCAUCGCAGUGACCUCCACGGUCUCGGCGUCGGCACCGGCGAAGAUGUAUCGUCGUCGGAGGCGGCAGAGGAGGAGAGAGAUGGGGAGGACGAGAAGGGCGGAGAAGGGCAAGAAAGGCGUCGUCGUCGGAGACAGUGUAGGAGAGUCGGAGAGGUUAAAAAAAAAAAAAGAGUCGCGGUGCGGCCUCAGCGGGAUCGGAGGCGAGGAAGAUGGGGAUGUGCGGGUGAGAGUAAGGAUGCGCCGGACAAAAUCGAAGCAGGCCGCCUCCGCUCUGUCUCUGCGGCUCUCUGGGAAGAGAAAGAAAAAAAAGAACGAGAGAAAAAAGAGGAGAGAGAAAAAGGUAUAAGGCCGCCUCCGCUCCGUCUCCGCCACUCUCUGGGAAGAGAAAGAAAAAAGAACAAGAGAAAUGAAGAGGAGAGAGAAAGAGGAAAGAGAAAAAGGUAUAAGGGUAUUUUGGUCAGUUUGCUGAAAAAGCGGACCGAAUCUGCAAAAACGAAAAAUGUGGCCCAAUUUGCAAAAGUCCAAAAUAAGUGGAUUUUUUAUGCAAAUUGGCCAUUAAAGAUUAAUGCUCUCGUUUUUCAAAUUCAUGUAUCUACUAGUGUAGCUACCCGCGCAAUGCGGCGGGUAGAUUUUAUCAAAGUAAUUUUUGUUUGUGAUUGUGGAUCCUCGAUGAUAGCCCAAAAUAGACAGAUAAAAUUUUUAAUAAAAAUUUAUAGAUUAAGUCAAAGCUGUAAAAUACGAAAUUAUCAAUUUCCAAUGGCUAUUCUUCCAGCAUUGUAUUUAUUUUUCAUUCUACAUAUGCAAACUAAUAAUAACUAACACAUUCUAUAUAAUUCAUGUAAAUUUAUAAGUUACUAAUUUUUUUGCUCAAAAUUCAGCAUAGUAUAUAGCCUCUUUUAUUAUUUUCUCUACAAACUUGGACAACAGGACAGUAGUCCUACCUAGGUAGAUUUAAGGAAAAGUCUAUGAAAAAAAUAUUAUUUUUCAUUGAAAGAAAAGGGCAAAAAAAAAGAUAAAACAAAAAGAUAAAAAAAAGAAAAAAUCAUUAAUAUUCUUUUUUUUUCAGCAAAACUUGAUAAGGAAAAAGAAGCUAAUAACUAUGGGGAAACACAAAAGUUGCUUUAUAAAAGGUCCGUGAGUAAGUUGUGGGCCGCUAUUUCUUUGACAACUAACUCUUCUUUUCUUUUUCUAUAAACCAUAAUUUUAGAUGAACACUUGGCUAAAAAAAAAGAAGAAAAAUUAAUUUUUAAAGUGAAACCAAGCACAAAAUUAGAAAACUAUUGCAACACCAUAAUAAGGAGAAAUAAUGUAACUAUAUUGAAACAAACAUAGAAAACACAACAAAGCAAAUCGAAACAAACCAACAUUAGAUCAAUGCAACCAUGUCAAUAUAGUAAAUUCAAUUGAAGUGUAAACCUCAACCAAAGUACAGCAAAGAUUAGAAAACAGAGGGAGCAAACUGCACACCGGGCACAUCAGGCAAACCUCAAAGAUUCUCUAAGAACGAUUGCAAGUUCAUACCUUCUCUUAAUCUUAUACUCAUAGCAAGAAUAGUGAAAAUGUUGGAAUGUUGUAACAUUCUAAAGUUCAAUUGAUGAAUUCUAUAGAAAUAAGCAAAGCUUCUAAAAUAAACUUAACUGAAAAUUGUCAUGCAAUCCAAUAUGCCCAUUCUAUAUAGAGAAAGGAAAAAAAAAUUAAUCAUAUUUGCAUUUCACAAUAUAAACUAAGACUGAAAAGAUAACAAAAUAAAUGAUACAAAAAUGACUAAGGACCUCAGAAUUGUUAGUUUCCAUUAAAAAAUUUUGAAGAAAAUAUUAAUUCUCAACCGCAUAAAAUAAUAUCAAGACCAGCUUUAAAGUUCACUGAUCAGAAAACAAACAAAAGCAACAACAAUGAAUAGUAACAGCAAUAAAACGAUAAAUGUGAAUAGCAAUUUGAAGAAGAAAUUAAAAAAAGGUCAACUAAAAAUUUGAAGGCUUUAAACCCAUUGCAGCUCCAACCCUUCUUUCAAACCUAUUAAAAAUCACCAUAAACAAAAACAAAUUAUUUUAGAGAAGAUAUAUACUCUCUUGUCAAAAGGUGUGUUUAUCACUGCGACAACAUAACAUAACAAUUCUCAACCACAAUUUUGUAUUUAAUCAUUGACGAACAGAUAAGAGGAUGUGUUUUUCACACAGCAAAACAAAAAUAAAUAAAUUAUGAAACAUUACAUCAGGUUAGUGAAACAUUACGUAACAUUAAACAAUAAAAUUGGCAAAGGAAAUGAUGAGGGUAGUAACAUAGUUUCAUUUUAAGUUCAGAACAAAAAGAAAAACUUUAAUAGCAUUAGUUUCUAUUUUAGUUUUUGCAAAAGUAAAACAAAGUAAUAUAGAAGUAGAGACUAGUAAUAUGCCUUCAAUUAGUCACACAAUAUCAUAAUAACUAACCCAUGUGAAUAUUCUAAAAGCCUAUUUUGCAAACACAUACAAAGCUGUCACCUAAAACACACAAAAACUAAUUAAUUAAGAAUUAACCCUCAGUCAGAAUAUGAAAAGGUAAUUCUUUAUAAACUAAUUAUAUAUUAAGAAAAUAUAACUUGUAUAAUUAUAGAGGACAUACCUUUGCAAAUCUAAGUUGCUCAUAUGUGAGGGUUCGAGGUUACGACUCUCUCGACAAUUUUCUCUCCAUUUUCAUAUCCAAUUAAUCCAUUAUCUUAAACAUGCAAAGGGGAAAAAAAAUAUUGUGAAGCUUCACAUCGCAACUGGUCCUCCACUUCAGUUCUUCCAACUACUAAAGAAUCAAAAAAGGUUAACAUCUUAAAUGUCAUCACAUUAUUUUGAAGAAUCCCAAUGUACGAACUGAUCAGGAAUGGCAUUUUGAAAUAGCCCACUUUUAAUUUAGUUUUUUCUAAUUGAUGUUCCUUUUAACUUUAAUUAAUUUAUUCUUAUUAAAUUUAAUGGAUGGAUUACCUAUUACCUGUUAUUAUUCCAAUUUUGUCUACUUAAAAAAAUAAAACUAUUAAUUUUGAUUUAAAAAUGGCCAAAAUUUGUAUCAAAUUGUCAUGAGUUUGAUGUAAUUUUUUAUUUAUUCAAUUUAAAAUACUUAACUAAUUAAAAAUACUUAAUUUAAAAAAAUAAAAUUUAAGAGGGCUCAAUACAAAGAGUUAAAAUUAAAGGACUAUUUCAAUAUGACCUACAGUUCACCAAGUCCCAGAGCAUUUCUUUUCCUUAAUUAAACUAAAAUAGUUUAGUCUAAAAUAAGGAUUAAAAAAUAAUAAUGAAAAAGAGCUUAUAUGAAGACCAUUCAAUGAAUUAAGUAACUUUUUUAGUAAAAAAUUUAAGAAAAUGAAAAAACAAAAUACAAUUACCUGCAACUUAUUCUUUUAUUUGAGAAUCAAUAAUCUGCAAAAUCCUCGAGCUUCUUUGCAACUCCGUUAAGAUCCGCCAUGUCGAUGUCGACGCAAAAUCCAGAGAUAAUAAGGUAUCACAUACCACAAACACUAAGCAAGGUAUUAUAAAAAAAAAUCCUAUAUUUACCUCUAAUUGUUAAAUUUAUAGCUUUAAUGUAUCUUAAUUUGUGAGAGGUUACCUUGUCGAGGCAAUCGAGAUGAUUGAGCAAUUUGACUAAGGAGAGGACCAAGAUGUGUAGGUUCUUAUGCUCUAAUCUAUACAUAGUUUGGUGGCAGAGCGUAGAGGGAGGUGAGGAGGGCGUGCGUCUGCGCGAGGUUGGGGAGAGGACGCGGAUGGGGAACGCGAGCGGGAUUUUUUUUUUGGUGCGGGGGGCAGGAGAGAGAGAGAGAGAAAGAGAGGGAGUUGGGGGAACGCGGAUGGGGAAGGCGAGCGGGAAGAUGAAGGGAUCGGAGAGCGGCGCUGCAAAACGUUCAACCCAUGAUGGAUUAAUCCAAAAUCGAAAACGGCGAUGAAGGAAGACGAAACAACGAUGUAAGAAACCGCAGCGGGGAGAGAGAUCCAUCCUUUGAUUUCGGCGACGAAAACGGCUGAAACGGAAGAGGAAACGGCGAAAGAAGAAGUGGCACCGAGGGAAAGGACCAAUCGUGGGAAGAGGAAGAGGGAUGUUCGGCAGAAAGUUACAGUCCAGGGUUUCGAUUCGUGCAAAGAAAAAGUGAACCGGGUUAGGUUCAAGCAAAGAAAAAAAAAAUUAGCCGGUUCGGGCAGGUUCUCUUGGUUUGGUUCAAAAAGAGAAAAAGAAACCUGGUUCAAUUCAAACAAAAAGGAGAACCCGGUUCAGUUCAAGCCGAAAAAAGCAAAAUUUGAGCUAGUUCGAACAUGUUGACCCAAAAACAAAGAAGAGGAAACUCAGUUCGAUUCAAACCAAAAAAGCGCAAAACUCUAGCCGGUUCGAGCAUGUUGACCCGGUUCAGUCAAAAAAGAUAGAAAUAGAUAGGAAACUUGAGCGGUUCUAGUUGGCACGCACACUAAACAAUUCGGUUCGGUUCAAGUAAGAAAAGAUAAAAUAUGUGAAGGAUUUGAGCCGGUUCGGGUUGGCACCCAUAUUAAACAAUCCGGUUCGGUUCAAAUAAGAAAUAGAUGUGAAGGAUUUGAGCCGGUUCGGUUCAAGUUAGGAAUAGAUGUGAAGGAUUUGAGCCGGUUCGAAUUGGUGCCUACACUCAACAACCUGGUUCAAGAUUAUGAGAAAAACCAAACAAAGGAAAUGACGCCACGUGGCAAGAUUAUGAGGAAUAAUGAUAAGGAAUAGAUAGUUUAUUCAAUAAAAUUUAAUAUUUUAAUAAAAUAUACAUAUGAUUUUAAUGCGAAAAUUUUUAGUAAAAUAAAGGCCUUUUUGCAUAAAAAGUUCACUACUUUUUGAGUUUUUAUAAAAUUGACCACUAUUUUAGAUUUUACAGAUGCAGCCCAAAUUUUUAGUAAACUGAUUAAAAUAUUUUUAUUCUUUUUUCUCUUUCCUUAUUUUUUACUUGUCAGUCCGCCUGUUUUUAUCGUUUCUUCCUCUCCUCCUUCGUCGCCCCUACAUUGAUGUCGUGUUCUGUCCUUUUUUUAUUUUUUUUGGUAUGCUCAAUCGUUUCUUUCUUCCGCUCCGGUUCAUCUCCUUCUCAUUGUUUCUUCCUCCACUUCUUCUCCUGCUUUCUCUCCUUCUCUUCCUCCUCCACAGCCCCUACAUUGACGCCAUGCUUCGUUCUCUUACUCCGCCCACAUAUCUAUCUACACUAGCUUGGAUAUGAUAUAGAUCACGGAGGUGAGUUUACAACGGAGCGUAUGGCCACGGAUGGCGACGGCGACAAAGAUAUAUUUAAAGGCGACGGAAAGGGAGAGCACGUUGGGUGUGGCUGUAGCCGAGGGUAAGGGAGCGGGCGCGAUCCAAAAAAAUAAGAGGGUGAAAAAAAAGAGAAAGAAUAAAGGAAUUUUUUUUCUCUUGUGAAGACCAUUAUGUGUCAUCGCUACUAAGAGAAGAAGAAGAUGAAGUCACACAGUUUGAGACAAAAUUGCACUGUUUAAGAUGAAAAUUACACUCUUUCAGGCGAAACUUGCACUCUUUCAGGCAAAAAUUGCACUCUUUUAAGCAACAAUUAUACUAUUUUAGAUGAAAGUUGUAUUAUUUAAGUGAAGUUGCAUUGUUUAAUUCAAGGGCACAUUCUUUGAGCGAAAAUUGCACUUUUUAAACAAAAGUUGUACUGUUUGAAAAUAAAAUUGUACUUCUUGAGACAAGUUGCACUCUUUGAGUAAAAAUUACAUUGGAUAAAACUUGCACUCUUUGAGCGAAAGCUAUACUAUUUGAGACCAAAGUUAGAUUCUUUGAGCGAAAGUUAUACUAUUUAAGCGAAAGUUGCACAGUUUGAGACGAAAAUUACAGUUUUUGAACGAAAGUUGCACUAUAUAAAAUAGAACUUAUACUUUUUUAGACUAAAUUACACUAUUUAAAAUUAUUUGAGACUAAGUUACAUUAUUUGAGACUUAGUUUUAAAUAUUUUAAAUGAUGUAAGUCUCAAACCGUGUUAAUUAGUCUCAAAUAAUGCAACUUAGUCUCAAACGAUAUAACUUUUAUUUUGUGUGGUGCCAUUUCGUCUCAAAUAAUUUUAAAUGCUCUAAUUUUUGCUCGAAGAGCGAAACUUUCAUCUCAAACAGUAUAACUUUCGCUCAAAGAGUGCAAAUUUUGUCUCAAGCAGUGUAAUUUUUUUGUCAAAGAGUACAACUUCGAUUUAAAGAGUGCAAUUUUUAUCCAAAGAGUGCAACUCUAUUCGUCACAUUCAGUUUCAACCGUACAGUAGAUCAAGAGACCUUAACUGGUCCAUGGUAAAAUCUCUAAACAUAAAGAGUUUUCGGUUAGAUUAAUUUUUGCAUAGUAAUAUGAGAAUGAUCCACCAGCAAUGGUGUCUGCCACGAACGAACCGGUCCCGCCGUAGGUUGUUUCUAAGACGAGUGGUCAUUCAUGGUAGAGGUAAAAUUUGUUUAUGUUUUAUUUUGAAAUCAGAAUUAUAGGUUCAUGGCUUCCAACAGACUCAAGAAUCUGUUGUUAAUUACCCCACACUUUCGGUGUUAAGGAACCCUCGAUUAAGAGACCAAAUAUAAAUGCUGAUAAUAAAAGAGACAAAACAGGCAAAUAAAAUUUUAUUGAUAUGAUUUGCCGUUUACAUGGCUUAAGCAGGGGCAUUCCCCCACUGUAUAUGAAUUUUAUCAGACUAAAUGUCCAAUCUAGCGAAGAAGUUUUGAUUUAUUGAAUCCUAAGUAUAUGUAUUAGGAUUCAGUUGGAUUUGAGAUUGACUAGAUCCUAAGUAUAUGUGUUAAGACCUAGUCGAUCUUAGACUUUAUGUAUUAGAGUCUAAUUGGCUCUAAGUAUAUGUCUUAGAGUCCGAUUAUAUUCACCUUGGUUGUAUGUUCCAAGGUGGAGAUGUGACCAGACCUCAAGUAUAUGUAUUGAGGUGGGUCGAAUUACCCGAAAGUGGAGAGUGGCUAAUUCCCGAGUAUAUGUAUCAGGAUUAACCGAGUUUCACUCUAGUUAUAUGUGCUAGAAUGAAGGUCUGACUAAGCCCUAAGUAUAUGUAUUAGGGGUAGUCGGAUUUGAACUCUAAGUAUAUGUAUUAGAGCUCGAUCGGGUAAGGAUUUCACUCUAGGUAUAUGUGCUAGAGCAAAAGGCUGACUAGACCCUAAGUAUAUGGGUUAGGACUAGUCGAGCACGGUUUGACUUCCACUCUAGGUAUAUGUGCUAGAGCAAAAGACUGACUAGACCCUAAGUAUAUGUGUUAGGGUUAGUCGAAUGAACUCUAAGUAUAUAUGUUAGAGUUCGAAUAAACUUGAUAUCAUUUGACUGAAUUCUAAGUAUAUGACUUAGAACUCUGUCGAUUUGGAGAUGUUUUGCCUUAGUUAUAUGUGCUAAGGCGAUUGACUUAGCCCUAAGUAUAUGUAUUAGGGGUAGUCGAUAUUUAAUUUUUACUCUAGGUAUAUGUGCCAGAGUAAAAAAAAGGUUCACGAUGAGAUUUGGGUAUUGGUUCAUGAGAUUUGAGUAUUGGCUCAUGAGAUUUGGUUCAUGAAUUUGGAUAUGGUUCAUGAAUUUGGUGUAUGGACUUGGUUUAUGAACUUGGAUAUGGUUCAUGGAUUUGGUGUACAGACUUGGUUCAUGAACUUGGAUAUGGUUCAUGGAUUUGGUGUACGGACUUGGUUCAUGGUUCAAGAAAUUUGGGUUUAGUUUAACGACUUUUCGGUCGUUUGGAUUUGGAUUUAGUUUAACGACUUUUCGGUCGUUUGAAAUUUGGGUUUAGUUUAACGACUUUUCGGUCGUUUGAAAUUUGGGUUUAGUUUAGCGACGUUUCGGUCGUUUGAGUUAAAUAUCAUGAAAUUGGUUCAUGAAAUUAAUUUAUGCUCGGAGCCCAUUUAUAAAGUCCAUUGAAUUAAUUGAUGAAAUUAAUUCAUGAUAGGGGGCAUUUGGAGAGCCCAUUGAAUUGGAAGGCCCGUUAGUUCAUGAAGUUAAUUUAUGACAAAGAGGCCCAUGAAAUUAAUUCACAGAAUUAAUUCGUGAUAGAAGGGCCUAUGAGGGAAACCUAUGAAAUUAAUUUGUAGAAUUGAUUUUAUGAUAAGAGGCCCAUUUAGAAAGCCCAAGAAAUUAAUUCGAGACAUAGGUUUGGUAGAUUUGGUUGGGUGUUAUUUAUGGACUUUAGAUUUUGGAUCUUUGGGUUUUGGAUCUUUAUUUGUAGACUUUGGAUUUUUUGGGAGUUUGUUUGUGAACUUUGGGUUUGGGAUUUUAUUUGUGAACUCUGGGUUUUGGAAUUUUUAUUUGUGGGCUUUGGGAUUUUUGGAAUUUUAUUUGUGGACUUUGGGAUCUUUGUGAUUUUAUUUGUGGACUUUGGAAUUUUUUUUGGAUUUUAUUUGUGGACUUUUGGAUUUUUGGGAUUUUAUUUGUGGACUUUGGGAUUUUUUAGACUUUGGGUUUUGGAUCUUUGGGUUUUGGGUUAAGAAAUUCAUUCAUAUGAAUU